rnacentral:rRNA from 1 species
AACCUUUACAAUGCACGAAAGUGUGAUAAGGGAAUCCUAAGUGCCUUGCUUUUUGCAAGGCUUUUUUCAAGAGUAAAUAUCUUGGAGAAUAAGUGGUGGGAAAGACUGGUGC